rnacentral:rRNA from 1 species
AUGAUUCUACGAGAUAGCACAGGCACCAUCAUCUUUGCUUCUUGCAGGUUACUAACGACCUGUGGGAGCGCUCUGGAGGCCGAAGUAGCAGCGUGCAUGGAGGGAAUCGCACUUACCCUCGAGUGGUCUACGCUGCCGUUCAUUCUGGAAACGGAUAGCAGUAUUGCAGCCAACAUGAUUGCAGAUUCUGAGCAAAAUAGAUCCCCUGUAGCUGCAUUAGUUGGUGAAGCUAAGAGACUACUUGGGCUUGGCCGUGAGCAUGUGAUAUCACUUGUGAGUAGGAGUAGAAAUAAAGCUAGCCAUUCCCUAGCUCAGAUGGGGAUUUCUGUUACCUCGUACUGCUGUUUGGCUUCGCCAUGGACCUGA